CCUACGGGCGGCUGCAGUGGGGAAUAUUGGACAAUGGGGGGAACCCUGAUCCAGCCAUGCCGCGUGUGUGAAGAAGGCCCUCGGGUUGUAAAGCACUUUCAGUGAGGAAGAACGCCUGGUGGUUAAUACCCAUCAGGAAAGACAUCACUCACAGAAGAAGCACCGGCUAACUCCGUGCCAGCAGCCGCGGUAAUACGGAGGGUGCGAGCGUUAAUCGGAAUUACUGGGCGUAAAGCGCGCGUAGGUGGCUUUAUAAGCCGGUUGUGAAAGCCCCGGGCUCAACCUGGGAACGGCAUCCGGAACUGUCAAGCUAGAGUGCAGGAGAGGAAGGUAGAAUUCCCGGUGUAGCGGUGAAAUGCGUAGAGAUCGGGAGGAAUACCAGUGGCGAAGGUGGCCUUCUGGACUGACACUGACACUGAGGUGCGAAAGCGUGGGUAGCAAACAGGAUUAGAUACCCGGGUAGUC
rnacentral:rRNA from 1 species